GGCGCCUUCCGCCCCUCUCGGCGGGCACCUGCGGGCUUCGCCGACGCGCUCCCCUCCCUCGCCGGGACCGGCCGGCCCCGCCUUCUGCAGGGGCCGGGCGAUGGGCGGACGAGGGGACCGGCCGCUUAAAAGCGAGGCACGGCCGGGCGUGGGCUGCCUCUGCCCGCGUCACCGAGUCAGCUCGGUCCCGCCAGGCGGAGGACGCGCCUGGGAGCGAGGGCGCGCGGGGUGCCCGGACCCCAGAGGUGCUUCUCGAACGCUUCGAGGGAAAGGCCGAAACGAACGCUUUGGCCGCCAAGACCGUGACAGCUCGGCUCUUGGCUUCACGUCCAGCUCCUGUCCCGCCACACGUCCUCUGCUGGACACGCCUCUGGUGACCUUCGCUGUGGCCCUUUAUCGGUACCCCAGGCUCUUGUACAUGUUGUUCCCUCUGCCCGGAGUUGCCUCCCAGCCCCACCAGCCGAGCUCCCGGGUCCUCCUUCCAGAAACUUCAUGUGAUGUAACCAUGGAAAGAAUGACAGAAUUGCUGUGGGUUUCUGAAAGAGCCACCACCUGAGCUGUGGCGGAGAACUCUGCUCCAGCACCAGCACAUACCAUGGGUACCUGGACCAAAGCACAGUGACGCUUGUGUGACUCGUUAGCAAUAGAUGCUAGAGUGCAAAAG
rnacentral:lncRNA from 1 species